CCUACGGGAGGCAGCAGUGAGGAAUAUUGGUCAAUGGGCGGGAGCCUGAACCAGCCAAGUCGCGUGAGGGAAGACGGUCCUCUGGAUUGUAAACCUCUUUAGGCGGGGAGCAAUGCCGGGCACGCGUGCCCGGAGGGAGAGUACCCGCAGAAUAAGCAUCGGCUAACUCCGUGCCAGCAGCCGCGGUCAUACGGAGGAUGCGAGCGUUAUCCGGAUUUAUUGGGUUUCAAGGGUGCGUAGGCGGAUUGUAAAGUCAGCGGGAAAAUGUCCGGGGCAACCCCGGGCCGGCGGUUGAAACUGGGGAUCUUGAGUGGGCGAGAAGUAUGCGGAAUGCGUGGUGUAGCGGUGAAAUGCAUAGAUAUCACGCAGAACUCCGAUUGCGAAGGCAGCAUACCGGCGCCCGACUGACGCUGAGGCACGAAAGCGUGGGGAUCGAACAGGAUUAGAUACCCUUGUAGUC
rnacentral:rRNA from 1 species